CCUACGGGUGGCAGCAGUGAGGAAUAUUGGUCAAUGGACGAGAGUCUGAACCAGCCAAGUCGCGUGAAUGAUGACUGCCCUAUGGGUUGUACACUUCUUUUAUAAGGGAGUAAAACGAGGCACGUGUGCCUUUUUGCAUGUACUUUAUGAAUAAGGCUCGGCUAACUCCGUUCCAGCAGCCGCGGUAAUACGGAGGAUCCGAGCGUUAUCCGGAUUUAUUGGGUUUAUAGGGAGCGUAGAUGGGUUGUUAAGUAAGUUGUGAAAGUUUGUGGCUCAACCGUAGAAUUACAAUUGAUACGGGUGGACUUGAGUGAAGUAGGGGCAGGCGGAAUUCGUGGUGUAGCGGUGAAAUGCGUAGAUAUUACGAGGAACCC
rnacentral:rRNA from 1 species